rnacentral:rRNA from 1 species
CCUACGGGCGGCUGCAGUGGGGAAUAUUGGACAAUGGGCGAAAGUCUGAUCCAGCCAUGCCGCGUGUGUGAAGAAGGCCUUCGGGUUGUAAAGCACUUUCAGUGGGGAAGAAAGCCUUGGGGCUAAUACCCUCGAGGAAGGACAUCACCCACAGAAGAAGCACCGGCUAACUCCGUGCCAGCAGCCGCGGUAAUACGGAGGGUGCGAGCGUUAAUCGGAAUUACUGGGCGUAAAGCGCGCGUAGGCGGUCUGAUAAGCCGGUUGUGAAAGCCCCGGGCUCAACCUGGGAACGGCAUCCGGAACUGUCAGGCUAGAGUGCAGGAGAGGAAGGUAGAAUUCCCGGUGUAGCGGUGAAAUGCGUAGAGAUCGGGAGGAAUACCAGUGGCGAAGGCGGCCUUCUGGACUGACACUGACGCUGAGGUGCGAAAGCGUGGGUAGCAAACAGGAUUAGAUACCCCAGUAGUC